CUCUGCCUGCUCCGAUCUUCCCUGCGAUCCACCAUGAAUCUCCGUCUCUGAGCCGCCCCGAUGCCAUGGGAACUUUCGCAGACAGAAGAAGACCAGCAACAUCAUGCGCUGGCUAAAGAAAAGUGAAGGUUUAGCACCGAUCCACAGACAUCAAUGGGGCUAGUGCAACAUGAGGGUGGGCAAUGUGGCGUGUUAGCUGCUAUAGAGAAAUUGGUGCAGCACCAGCUAACUCAAUAUCCAGACUUAAAAUGAGUUGAGUAUUGGGAAGACAAAUUCAAAGCUUUUGAUUUUGGGAGGUCAUCAGAUUGCCCACAGGUUUUGGAAAGAUUAUUACUCCAAGGUACUGACUAAUUUAUAUGAAUAAUAUAUGCAAUUCUGAUAUUCCUACAAAAUAUUUUAACAGGGCACGAAAGAGCUAUCAUUAAAGUGAAACGUAAUGUAUAUGAUUGAUGGGUUUGUAUUGUUGAGUUAAACAAUUUUUGCCUUGAUCGACAAUUGUU